AGCAGUGGGGAAUAUUGCACAAUGGGGGAAACCCUGAUGCAGCGACGCCGCGUGAGUGAAGAAGUAUUUCGGUAUGUAAAGCUCUAUCAGCAGGGAAGAAAAUGACGGUACCUGACUAAGAAGCCCCGGCUAACUACGUGCCAGCAGCCGCGGUAAUACGUAGGGGGCAAGCGUUAUCCGGAUUUACUGGGUGUAAAGGGAGCGUAGACGGAAGGCCAAGUCUGAUGUGAAAGCCCGGGGCUCAACGCCGGGACUGCAUUGGAAACUGGUCAUCUGGAGUGCAGGAGAGGUAAGCGGAAUUCCUAGUGUAGCGGUGAAAUGCGUAGAUAUUAGGAGGAACACCGGUGGCGAAGGCGGCUUACUGGACUGUAACUGACGUUGAGGCUCGAAAGCGUGGGGAGCAAACAGGAUUAGAUACCCUGGU
rnacentral:rRNA from 1 species